rfam:Salmonella enterica subsp. arizonae serovar 62:z4,z23:--, complete genome.
GCCAUCUUGUCGGAGUGCCAUUUUUGGCUGAGACCGUUAAUUCGGGAUCCGCGGAACCUGAUCAGGUUAAUACCUGCGAAGGGAACAAGAGUAAUUCUGCU